GUAACUGAUUCGUGUAUUCAAAGUAUGAUCUACGAAAAGAUAUCGAAAAUUAUCUUUUUUUUUUCAAAUUUAAUUCUUUAAAAUAUCGUCUAUAACAAGAAAAAUCUAUGAAGGAACAGCUCCUAAAUUAGCAAGGCAUAUGUCGCGCGUGUGGCAUCGUAUGAUUCACGUAAUCGGUCGUUGACAUUCUAUGUACGUAUGUACGCCUUUAAUCGAUACUUCUUUCAAAACCUAUUUCAAAUUAUUUUUCAAAUUUAAAAACUGAUUAAACUAUUCUUAACAGUUACAUACACGUUAGUGUUAAAGUAUUUAACAAGUGGCGAGAAAGUUACCACGACUCCGAAUUCGUUAUUACCUUCGCCGGUACUUUUACUAUAGACAAGCGAUUGAUUUCACGAUUCAUAUAAUAUUUAUGAUUGCAAUGACAUUCCACAUUUGGCGUUCGUUCAGUUGCCCGGGGAAUUCUGUGCGGGAACGACGGCGCGAGAAGUUGCAAGAACAAUAAACGGAAAGGCGAAAACACAAGGAUCCCCAAAAUUUUUCCAAGGCGAUACUGAGAAAAUAAGAGAGACGAACAGACUUCGAGCGAUACACCGCAUGGUCGGAAUCGUCGAAUGGGAAAUCACCGAGUAUAAAUAGAAGAUGACUCGCGGUCUGGACUCGCUUGGACACCGUCAGUCGAUGAUCAUACUUUAGCACCGCUAAGUGGGUAUCGAUACAGCAGUACUUCGUUAACUGGCCACGAUCCGGAACCUUAUCUGGUCAGUUAUCGAGAAACAUAAUGCCAGAGGUACGCUCACAAAAUCAGUAUGAAGAAUUGGUGGGGAUAGCGAUAACCAGCUAGAGAAGUGAAAUGGCGAACAAUUAACGCGACGUUAUUGUACAUCUCUGAUAGAUCUAUAUAUGCGUAAAAAUGUACACGCACGAAAUAAGGUAUCCGGUUCAUCCUUGGAGCAUCGUUCCGCGUGUUCCAAAAAUAACUAAGGCCAGAUGUGUCAUAUUACACUUAUAUGUAUGAAACAUAUAUUGCUUUUAUAUCUACUGAUAACAAUCGAAACGUUCGUAAACUCUGUUACGUUUAUCUCGGUCGGUAUAAUCGAGUAGCAAUAUGAAAAAUAAUAUGUCUGACGUUUUCAACCUACACGUGUCGUCAUACAUGCCGCUUUUGUAAUUACAUGCCUGUACA
rnacentral:lncRNA from 1 species